GGAUGCUGAGAGCAGUCUGGUUGUGACAUCUGUUACCUGUUGGUCUUGAGGACUGAUUUCACUGGCUAUGCAGGUGGCCUCUUCUCAUGACUACAUGUUCAUCUUUCCUGAAAUUUUGCCCUUAGCUGAUGGAGAUGACCUAUUUAGAUAAUAGAAGGCCAUUCUUUAUUCAAGGUAUCUGAAAUAUAAUCUUAUCCACCAAGAUACAUAAUUGUAUAGUUUUCUGAGAGGUGGUCUAUUUUAGACAGUCUUGGUUUUGUAUGAAAUUAAGCCUCUUUGACAGACUGGGCAGGUU
rnacentral:snRNA from 1 species